AAAAAGAGGACAGAUUAUUAAAAAACAGAGGAAAGAAGUUUCGGUUGAAGGGGGAAACAGGAAUAGCAGCUGCACUUUCAGCUUAUUGUCAUGCAGAGCUUUUUAGCCGCUGGAAGUGCCUACCAUUGUUCAUAUAUUCCUGGGCUUGAUGUUGGGGUUGUCUCAUGUUCUGCAAUUCUUGUAUUUGUGGUCACUCGAUCUUUUGUGUGGGAAUUAAGGAGGUACCUUAACAAUUAUUAUUUUCCUUUCCAUGGAAAUUUAAUUUUCAUUUUAGUCUUUCAAUUCAAACACUA